rnacentral:ncRNA from 14 species
CCAACGGCCCUCUUUAGGGCCACAAAUCUCAUUAAUCCAAAUUUAU